rnacentral:misc_RNA from 1 species
AACGCACCUUGCACUCCAUGGUAUUCCGUGGAGUAUGCCUGUCUGAGUGUCAUGAAACUCUCAACUCUUUUGCCUUUGUUUACCUUGGGCAUCAGGGCUUGGAUCAUGAGUGCCUGCUGGACCUGUGCACCAGCUCACUCUAAAUGUAUCAGUGGUCUGCAUGUUUUGCCUCUGCAGAUAGAUCUGGUGUAAUAGGUUUUAUUCACUGGACUUCUGUGUGAAAGCAAGAUGUUGCUCUCCAUUUCCAAACAAUCUCAGUGUUUGGCCUCAGAUCAGGCAGGACUACCCGCUGAACUUAA